rnacentral:misc_RNA from 1 species
UUUUUUUUUUAGUGAUAUAAAAGGCUAUUUCAUAUAAAAAUAACCCAAUAAAUCUACUAAAAUUAUUUUCAAGUCCUAAAUUCGACAACUACAUGAUGAAAAUACAUGAAUAAUAAAACUGACGAAAUUACAACUAAGAGAGGCUAGGUUCCCAAUCAGAAACAUACCUUUAUUUGGUUGAUUUUCUUGAAAUUGUGAGACACCCUUGGCACCUUGGAAGACUUCAGAUGGCAUAAAUAUAACAAAAUAAAAUAUUUUAGUGAUUAUUUAAAUUAAUUAACCUAAAACUGUAUGAAAUCCAAGGUGAAUUGUGUGCAAAUGUACAGAACUGUGUCUAGUUCUUGUGGAAUGAAGAAAGAUCAAUUAGAAAGUAG